rnacentral:pre_miRNA from 1 species
AGGAUUACCCUUACAAAAACACUGACUUUGGUUCUCAAUACAGUAAGUGCUUAAUAGUUGGGGUAGUUUUG